UACAGAGAGUGCAAACGUUGUUCGGAAUUACUGGGCUUAAAGCGCACGUAGGCGGUGUCGUAAGUGUCAGGUGAAAUCCCACGGCUCACCCGUGGAACUGCCUGGCAUACUGCGACACUCGAGUGUGGUAGGGGAGAGCGGAACUCCUGGUGGAGCGGUGAAAUGCGUAGAUAUCAGGAGGAACACCGGUGGCGAAGGCGGCUCUCUGGUCCACAACUGACGCUGAGGUGCGAAAGCUAGGGGAGCAAACGGG
rnacentral:rRNA from 1 species